CAGACUAAUAACACCCUUUCACGGCAGCCAAAUGAGUUUGCGGGAUUUCCCUUCGCAUUUCCGCGUUAUUUCAUGCUCCCCAAACCAGCCAAUCAAAUCACCCCGUUGGUGCUUAGGAUUGAAUUGACACUUCUGUGGACCAAUCAGAUUUCGCCUGUACACCGGCAGCGGAUACAUCACGUGGCGGUGAGCAGCAUCACAAAAGAGCUUAAAUCAGCAACAGUUGCUGCUGACCAAGUCACAUGGCAGGGUUUUUAUUUUAUCAUUUAUGAACUAAAAACCUAAUUUAUUUCAGCUAUCAAUUAUACUUAUAAUUAAUACAGGACGCUACACAAAGAACAGGGUGUAUAAUUAUACAAUACUGAUAAUUAUCAGUAAUAUUAAUAAUUAUCACACAGAUAAUAUGUGAUGGAAGAAGGGGAGGGCAUUUGAAAGCCUUAAGCAAAGUUUCCUUCCCUCCACCUUUUAGAAAAAAAUUAAAAUCACUUUAUAACCUUUUUAUUUAAACAAGCCUGAUUGCAGUACUUUUAUAAGUAUUUAAAUAUGCAUAUUAAAUCAACUUUAACUGAGGUGAACACUAAAGAAACAAACAAAAAAUCCAAAGUCAUCAGGAUCAGCUCAUCUUAUUGUUAUUCCUUGGCCAUGGCCACCCAGCUGCCUGCGAUUGCUGUUUUUAUUUACGUUUAGUUUAGUUAAAGUUUAUUCUGUUUUGAAUAAACCAGUAGCAAAAAAGAACGUGGACGCACAUUUAAACAGUGAUAUUACCUGGUUUCACUUCAGACCAGCAGUUUGAUGAAAUGAGCUACUGCUUCCUGCUUCCUGUUUUUUAAAUUACUUUUCAAAUGGAUGACGUUAUUGAAAUAAGAAGUAACCUGUUUGAAGUGCUUCCUGUUUAGAAUUUGGCAGACACCCUUAUCCAGAGCGAGAAGUGGCCACUUGGUGUGAACUCAUGACCAUUGGAGACCUUUGGAGCGGAAGUCGAAUGCCUUAACUACUAAGCUACCACCAUUGUUCUAUAAGUUCCACUAGAACUUUGAAAAUAAAACUGCAUGAGUUAAGCUGA